rnacentral:rRNA from 1 species
CGAUUCCGGAGAGGGAGCCUGAGAAACGGCUAUCACAUCUAAGGAAGGCAGCAGGCGCGCAAAUUACCCAAUCCCGGCUCGGGGAGGUAGUGACAAAAAAUAACAAUGCGGGACUCUUAUGAGGCUUCGUAAUUGGAAUGAGUACAUUCUAAAUCCUUUAACGAGGAACUAUUGGAGGGCAAGUCUGGUGCCAGCAGCCGCGGUAAUUCCAGCUCCAAUAGCGUAUAUUAAAGUUGUUGCGUCUAAAAAGCUCGUAGUUUGAAAACUUGCCUUGGCUUACAACAGACGUCUAAGGGCGUCACCGUUUGUCGAGAGCAAAUAUGGGUGACUGUUCUUGCCUUCUUCACUGAUUGGCUCGUAAAAGUCAUCGAAGAUCACUUUGAUUAAAUUAGGGUGCUCAAAGCAAGUGUGCUACUUGAAUAUGAAUGCAGGGAAUGAUGGAAUAUGUUGUUGUUCUAUUUGUUGGUUUUUUGAAUGACGAAAUGAUUGAAAGGAACUGUUGGGGGCAUUCGUAUUGUUGUGAGAGAGGUGAAAUUCUUAGACCAUAGCAAGACGAACUACUGCGAAAGCAUUUGCCAAGAAUGUUUUCAUUGAUCAAGAACGAAAGUUAGAGGUUCGAAGGCGAUCAGAUACCGCCCUAGUUCUAACCAUAAACUAUGCCGACUAGCAAUUUGCUUUGUAUUUUUAUGACUAAGUGAGAGGCCACGGGAAACCAAAGUAGGGUUAUGGGGGAAGUAUGGUUGCAAAGCUGAAACUUAAAGGAAUUGACGGAAGGGCUCCACCAGGAGUGGAGCCUGCGGCUUAAUUUGACCCAACACGGGAAAACUUACCUGGUCCUGACACUAGAAGGAUUGACAGAUUGAUAGCUCUUUCUUGAUUUGGUGGAUGGUGGUGCAUGGCCGUUCUUAGUUGGUGGAGUGAUUUGUCUGGUUAAUUCCGAUAACGAACGAGACUCUAGCCUAUUAAAUAAUAUGCGGAAUCAAUUUCUCCCGCGUUAUUUCUUAAUGGAUCAAGCGUGUUUAACGCUUUGAAACAGAGCAAUAACAGGUCUGUGAUGCCCUUAGAUGUUCGGGGCUGCACGCGCGCUACAUUGAAGAACAAAGUGAGCCCUCUGGCUUUUAACAAAGCUAGAAAUCUUUUAAUGUUCUUCUUAAUGGGGAUAGGGGAUUGCAAUUGUGCCCCUUGAACGAGGAAUUCCCAGUAAGUGCUAGUCAUUAGCUAGUACUGAUUACGUCCCUGCCCUUUGUACACACCGCCCGUCGCUACUACCGAUUGAAUAGUUUAGUGAGAUCAUCUGAGUGUUUGUAUGUGCAUUCUGUGCUUGUAUGGUGUACGAAGAAGAUCAAACUUGAUUAUUUAGAGGAAGUAAAAGUCGUAACAAGGUU